GCACAAGCAGCGGAGCGUGUGGUUUAAUUCGAGGCUACACGAAGAACCUUACCAGGGUUUGACAUGUCACGUGGUAGGAAUCCGAAAGGUGACCGACCCUUCGGGGAGCGUGCACAGGGUGUUGCAUGGCUGUCGUCAGCUCGUGCCGUGAGGUGUUAGGUUAAGUCCUGUAACGAGCGCAACCCCUGCCGUUAGUUACAUGUGUCUAACGGGGACUGCCCGGCUCAACUGGGAGGAAGGUGGGACGACGUCAAGUCAGCAUGGCCUUUAUAUCCUGGGCUACACACACGCUACAAUGGUCGGUACAAUGGGUAGCCAAGCCGCGAGGCGGAGCCAAUCCUGAAAGCAGGCCUCAGUUCAGAUUGCAGUCUGCAACUCGACUGCAUGAAGCCGGAGUUGCUAGUAACCGCAGGUCAGCAAUACUGCGGUGAAUACGUUCCCGGGUCUU
rnacentral:rRNA from 1 species